GACGAACGCUGGCGGCGUGCCUAACACAUGCAAGUCGAACGGAGUAAUUUCUUCGGAGAUUACUUAGUGGCGAACGGGUGAGUAACGCGUGAGAAACCUGCCUUUCAGUGGGGGACAACAGUUGGAAACGACUGCUAAUACCGCAUAAUGUUAUUUGGGGGCAUCCCUGAAUAACCAAAGCUUUAUGUGCUGAAAGAUGGUCUCGCGUCUGAUUAGCUAGAUGGCGGGAUAACGGCCCACCAUGGCGACGAUCAGUAGCCGGUCUGAGAGGAGGAACGGCCAAAGUGGGACUGAGAUACGGCCCAGACUCCUACGGGAGGCAACAGUGGGGAAUAUUGGGCAAUGGGGGAAACCCUGACCCAGCAACGCCGCGUGAAGGAAGAAGGCCUUCGGGUUGUAAACUUCUUUUACCAGGGACGAAGAACGUGACGGUACCUGGAGAAAAAGCAACGGCUAACUACGUGCCAGCCGCCGCCGUAACAC
rnacentral:rRNA from 1 species